UGGGGAAUAUUGCACAAUGGGCGCAAGCCUGAUGCAGCCAUGCCGCGUGUGUGAAGAAGGCCUUCGGGUUGUAAAGCACUUUCAGCGAGGAGGAAGGUGGUGAGCUUAAUACGCUCAUCAAUUGACGUUACUCGCAGAAGAAGCACCGGCUAACUCCGUGCCAGCAGCCGCGGUAAUACGGAGGGUGCAAGCGUUAAUCGGAAUUACUGGGCGUAAAGCGCACGCAGGCGGUUUGUUAAGUCAGAUGUGAAAUCCCCGGGCUCAACCUGGGAACUGCAUUUGAAACUGGCAAGCUAGAGUCUCGUAGAGGGGGGUAGAAUUCCAGGUNUAGCGGUGAAAUGCGUAGAGAUCUGGAGGAAUACCGGUGGCGAAGGCGGCCCCCCUGGACGAAGACUGACGCUCAGGUGCGAAAAGCGUGGGGAGCAAAACAGGAUUAGAUACCCUGGUAGUCCACGCUGUAAAACGAUGUCGAUUUUGGAGGUUGUGCCCCUUGAGGCGUGGNUUCCGGAGCUAACG
rnacentral:rRNA from 1 species